rnacentral:rRNA from 1 species
UACGUAGGGUGCAGGCGUUAAUCGGAAUUACUGGGCGUAAAGCGUGCGCAGGCGGUUUGCUAAGACAGGUGUGAAAUCCCCCCGGCUUAACCGGGGAACUGCGUCUGAUACUGGAUGGCUUGAGUUCGGGAGAGGGAUGCGGAAUUCCAGGUGUAGCGGUGAAAUGCGUAGAUAUCUGGAGGAACACCGGUGGCGAAGGCGGCAUCCUGGACCGACACUGACGCUGAGGAG